CUGACGGUAGGGUAUGGGCCUACCGAGGCAGCAACGGGUAACGGGGAAUUAGGGUUCGAUUCCGGAGUGGGAGCCUGAGAGACGGCUACCACAUCUAAGGAAGGCAGCAGGCG
rnacentral:rRNA from 1 species